rnacentral:lncRNA from 1 species
GAAAGUUGAAACUACAUGGGUCCCAUUUAAGUGAGAUAAUCAUAAAUAUAUAUUUUUACUUGUUUUUUUAACAUGUAAAAUGAAACUUGCAUUAAAAAGCUCAAAUCAGACUCAGAACAUUACAAUUUAAAGAAUUAUAGAUAGUUUAAAAAUUCACAGCCCACAAAUGAAAAAAGUCCAUCAGCCUGAGUCCAUCUUACGCUCAGCACUGAACAAACGAUUUAAAGAAGAAGGAAUGCCACAACCAACACGGCUGCCGAAGCAACACCGACUUGCCGACAAGUAUAGCUAAUCGCUACCAUCAAUAUCGACUUGCCAAUAAGCAAAACGCGGCCAACUUAGAGUUGGUAACACUAGCUACUCCUACUCAAGUUGAUAAAUCCUAGCGUGACGCCGGUCAAUCUUUACAUGUCAAAGCAAAGUAAACAAACUUAAAAUCACAAAGACAAAGAGCAAAGAACCGCCAUCAUCACAAUGCAUAAAGAUCGACAGCCCAGCUAAGGACUAUUCACGCUGCUUGCCGCAAGCCAACAGAGCCAUCGCCACUGUUCAUUGGACAAAGAGACCAGCCUAUAACAUUUUCAGUCUCAUCUAGUCAUGGAGCAACCUUAACAGAGUUAUCCAAACUCCAGUAUCGAAGAUCACUGGCCACGUCCCAAAAGCACCAACAAGCACCAGAUCUAUCACAUAAUUCCAAGACUCACCAAAAUACAGAACAAAAUAAACAAAAAAAAUGAAAAAACAAAAGAAAUCUAACAAAAUUUAGGCAAAGCCAUCAAACCCACUCCACCCACAUACGGAGGAGUCCGAUAACCGCACUGAAAAUCACUGAUUGAAACCGAAACAAACCCCAAUAAAAUCAUCAAAUAGAUUCGCAAAGGCACAACCUCGCAAAAAUGGGGCAGAUCCGAACUAAAAAGAUCACGGUUGGAGAAGUCGCCGAAGUAAACAAAAUCCUCCACCGGAAACUGCUACUCUCGCUAUAUAUUUUUGCUUGGGUAUAUGGAUAUGACAAAUCUAAAUGUGUACAACCACAAUUUUGAUAAAUGCAGACUUGAUUACUUAUGAUAGAUGACCCAAAUCCAAAUGGAUCAACAUUAGAGAUGACUCAUUUUUUAAUUAUUUUUUUUUUCUCUUCUUUCUUCUUUUGUUCACACAUGAUAUCUUUGAGAUUAAG